AACGGGUGAGGAACACGUGAGAAACCUGCCUUUCAUUCUGGGAUAACACCGGGAAACCGGCGCUAAUACCGGAUACUCCAUCUUGGCGGCAUCGCCGAGCUGGGAAAAAAUCUUGAUGAAAGAUGGUCUCGCGGCCUAUCAGCUAGUUGGUGAGGUAAAGGCUCACCAAGGCAACGACGGGUAGCUGGUCUGAGAGGGCGACCGGCCACACUGGGACUGAGAUACGGCCCAGACUCC
rnacentral:rRNA from 1 species